rnacentral:piRNA from 1 species
UGCUGUCCUGAGAUAUCUGUCCAGU